rnacentral:rRNA from 1 species
UACAGAGACCUCAAGCGUUAUCCGGAAUCAUUGGGCGUAAAGCGCGUGUAGGCGGUUCGGUAAGUCUGCUGUGAAAGUCCAGGGCUCAACCCUGGGAUGCCGGUGGAUACUGUCGGACUAGAGUACGGAAGAGGCGAGUGGAAUUCCCGGUGUAGCGGUGAAAUGCGCAGAUAUCAGGAGGAACACCGGUGGCGAAGGCGGUUCUCUGGGAAUGACCUGACGCUGAGGAGCGAAAGUGUGGGGAGCGAACAGG